GCCUCUGUAGCGAAAUGGUUAACGCGCCAGCCUUCUAUGUGUUAUGUAGCUGGAGAUUCUGGGUUCGACCCCCAGCAGGGGUG
rnacentral:tRNA from 1 species